rnacentral:ribozyme from 1 species
GAAUGAAAAAAGAAGAAGUAGUGAAAUUGUGAUGAUUAUUAUUAUUUUUUGUGUUUUUUGUGUUUUUUUUUUUUGUGUUUUUUU